rnacentral:rRNA from 1 species
GAUGAACGCUGACAGAAUGCUUAACACAUGCAAGUCAACUUGAAUUUGGGUUUUUAACUUAGGUUUGGGUGGCGGACGGGUGAGUAACGCGUAAAGAACUUGCCUCACAGCUAGGGACAACAUUUGGAAACGAAUGCUAAUACCUAAUAUUAUGAUAAUAGGGCAUCCUAUAAUUAUGAAAGCUAUAAGCGCUGUGAGAGAGCUUUGCGUCCCAUUAGCUAGUUGGAGAGGUAACGGCUCACCAAGGCGAUGAUGGGUAGCCGGCCUGAGAGGGUGAUCGGCAACAGGGGGAAUAGUGGACGAUCCUUCCUGCGGCAGGAGGAAGAAGUGGGGAGUAUUGAUGAAGUGUCCGGGAGUGUAAAGUGGGAAAAUUGGGGAAACAAAAAAGUUUUUCGAAAAGAAAAGGGCUUUCAGUUGGAAAGAAACCAAUGGCGGUAACAAUAAAAGAAGUAACGGCUAAAUGCGU